AUCUAAAUAGUUUAAUUAGAAUGAUAAUUUGUGGUGUUAUAGGUGGAAUUUGUUUUCUUUAGGUC
rnacentral:tRNA from 1 species